rnacentral:rRNA from 1 species
CCUACGGGAGGCAGCAGUGGGGAAUUUUGCGCAAUGGGCGAAAGCCUGACGCAGCAACGCCGCGUGGAGGAUGAAGGCCUUCGGGUCGUAAACUCCUGUCAGUGGGGACGAAUUCCUCGAAAGAGGUUUGACUGUACCCGCUGAGGAAGCCACGGCUAACUCCGUGCCAGCAGCCGCGGUAAUACGGAGGUGGCAAGCGUUGUUCGGAAUUACUGGGCGUAAAGGGCGCGUAGGCGGCUUGGCAAGUCAGAUGUGAAAGCCCCGGGCUUAACUUGGGAAC